UGAACACAUACGUGCUUAACCUUUAAUGCAAAAAUCAAGAUUUUCUGUUAUCGAGCAUGCUGCAUCAUGUCUAAAAGGCAAUUUCACAAAGGCAGCGGCGCGGUAAAACUUUCCUAUUGUCUUGUCAGUCAGGGCAGAAGAACUCACAUUUACAUCCCCUACUCUCACUUUUUGAUCCGCAAAAAUGGCAACGAUUCUUUUAUAUUCAAAUGAGUACAUUAACAUUAGACACCCAGCAUCACAAAGUCCCUCUCUGUUAGCAUCUCAUUUGAAUAUCUCAUAUCUUCAAGACACCGCUCAGCUCGAGUCAUCUGGGCUUUUGUCCCCAGCACGGGACACCACAGGCGAGUCAGAGAGGUGUCACACAUCCAGCCUAGUAAUUUGUCAUGAAAGAACCCUUUCGCAGGAUGAAGGUAACGAGCUGUCAAGGUUAUAAUGGUUAGAAUAAACACAGCUAAUUAAUUAGAAACCACGAGAGGCAGGGUAAGGGCACACGGCUGAGAGAAUCCAUAAUUAGCUAAUAUGUUACACACGCGCCUCAGCAUAUACUGUUACGGCGGCAAAACAAUUAUGUUAGUGGGAAUAUCAACAAGAAAAGACGGAUAAGGAGUGGCUCAGUGGCACCUGUAACAACCUCAAAGACAGCGUGCUUUAUAAAUACAAAAGGCAAGCCAUCCUCUAUUAGCGAUGAAGACCAGGGGGUAGUCAGACGACAACGUGUCAGCCUCCCUUAACGUGCAAACUGACUCCCUCAGACGUUUCAAAAGUGCCAAACAAAAUGAAAAUGACACGCGUGAGGCUGUGAAGCUCGGGACCUUGGUACCGAGCGAAACAGUCGAUUCCAUUCAGGAAGUCGUCCUCAGUCCUCUGUACUGUACUGUACGUGGCCAACAGGCCCUUACUGUUUAAAGCGACAACUCAGUAUGAUAUUUGAGACCACAAACAAAAUGCUUAGUUCUGUACAUUACUGUAAUCAAUGUACUUUUAGCUUUCAUAGCUUUGCUUGGAAAAACUGUACUCCACUAAAAGGACGUCUCCCAAUAAAAGACAUGGGAUCUAAACUUCACCUAUACAACCUCCUAAUGUGUUACAGACUGCUGGUUCAGAGCCGGGAACGGCCGGAGACUCGUGUUCCUGCCAGCGGACAAAUGGACCGUGUGCUUCUCAUCACGCACAAGUCUGGAGGGCUCGCGUUUAUGUUACACCUGACACAUAAACCAGAUGCCAGAUAUGCUGCUAAUGAUGCUGCUGUGGUUCCUGCUGCCAAGGAGUAG
rnacentral:lncRNA from 1 species